AGCAAGGAAGACAAGUUUUUGUUUACUGGUCCCAGGGUCAAUAAUUGGCAAAGGAGAAAAGUAAUAUAAGAGGUGAAAGUUGCCGGCCGUGUAGUCUCAGUAUAUGCACUGAAAAACAAAACAUGGCGGCCAAGUUCCACCCUGCCCUUGCUUUAUCUGGCCCAGACAUGAUCUUUGCAUUGCAGAGUAUUUAAUUACUCCUAGUAAACCUGCGGUUGGAAGUCAAGGGGUUGAUUUGGGAAUGGGUGUUUGCACCACAUGUGAAAAUCCUGACCUCAGACACAUGGGAGUUAUGAAAAAAGAUGUAUUCUGAAUACCAAAGUCAAACCAGGGGGGAACAAAAACAAUGCUAGGGAAUGCUAUUAUAAAUGGAAAAAUCUUGUUUAACUCAGUAGAACUUUUCUCUGACUUCUUUGGUCAAUGGCAUAUACUGCUCAAUAAAACAUUUAUUUAAUAGAGAGAUUUUGUCUAGUAAUACACUUAAAAUAGUGCUUGGCACUUAGCAAAUACUCAAUAACUAUUAGGUAUUAUUUUUAUUAUUUCAAUUAUACUUUUUAAGGAAUUAAAAUAUAAUACAAUUUCUAUUUAACAUUAUUUAAUCUUUCUUGGGUAACAAAAGCAGAGGCAUCAAUAGUUUGGUAAUUCUGUUAGUCAGGGAGUUGACAUCAGUGUAAGCUGGACCUCACUGCAUAAUGUGAAUUAGGAAUGAACAUCCCAGCUUUGCCCAGGGGCCAUCCAGCUUGCGUGAGAUAAAUCUGGACCUGAAUGUCAAUUUACUAAUUUAUAGUGGCCAUCAUUUGCUACCAAAUUGAAUGCUAUAUUUGCAUGGUUCCAUCAACUUAAUCUCUUUUAUCAAAAAGUCGAAUUAAGAUUCCAUGGCUGAUUUGUGCACAUGGGGUGUUGAGUGUCCUGUUGGUCAUUACCAUAGAGCAGUGGUGGCUUAUUGAAAUGCCACAGCUCUUCUGGCAUCCCAGUGAUUUUUAUCUUUGCACUAGCAUGACAGUAAUAAGAAUUUC
rnacentral:lncRNA from 1 species